rnacentral:rRNA from 1 species
CCUACGGGCGGCAGCAGUGAGGAAUAUUGGUCAAUGGGCGCGAGCCUGAACCAGCCAAGUAGCGUGAAGGAUGACUGCCCUACGGGUUGUAAACUUCUUUUAUAAAGGAAUAAAGUGAGGCACGUGUGCCUUUUUGUAUGUACUUUAUGAAUAAGGAUCGGCUAACUCCGUGCCAGCAGCCGCGGUAAUACGGAGGAUCCGAGCGUUAUCCGGAUUUAUUGGGUUUAAAGGGAGCGUAGAUGGGUUGUUAAGUCAGUUGUGAAAGUUUGAGGCUCAACCGUAAAAUUGCAAUUGAUACUGGCAGGCUUGAGUACAGUUGAGGCAGGCGGAAUUCGUGGUGUAGCGGUGAAAUGCUUAGAUAUCACGAAGAACCCCGAUUGCGAAGGCAGCUUACUAAGCUGCCACUGACACUGAUGCACGAAAGUGUGGGUAUCAAACAGGAUUAGAUACCCCUGUAGUC